UGGAGGAUUUGAAAUAUAUUCCCCCCUUCCUAACAAAAUUCAUAAAGGCCGUAGAGACUGAAUGUCAACUAUCCUCAUUCGUCACAAACGAACGGAUAAUGUUACAGUCCGAUCCCGCCAGUAACGGCGGC
rnacentral:autocatalytically_spliced_intron from 1 species